rnacentral:ribozyme from 13 species
GAUAAAAUUUAUUACACAAAAGAUGGAGAGAUUUCUCUCCUCAUUUUUUUCCUUAUUCUUAUUUCUUUUUUUUUGUUUCUUUCUUUUUUUCUUUUCUUUUUCUUUUUGUUUGCGAAAACAAAACAAAAAG